GGUAUGUGUAAAAUACCCUGUGGGAUUGUAGAAGCUUGGGGACAUCUGCUGGACACUUGUGCCUAGAGAUUAAUGACCCACUCCACAGGAUGUCCUGCAGAACUACCCCACUAAGUGACCACAUGCAUAUACUGAUUCAUUUAGGCCACUGCUGACUUCAAGGGUUGUUCAUACACUUAAAAAGAAAGAGAGUACAGUCACUUUAGAAGAAGGUCUCAUGGCUACCUAUAAAACUAAAUAUGCUCUUACCACAGCAUCGAACAAUCACACUCCUUGGUAUUUACCCAAAGGAGCUAAAAACGUAUGUCCACACAAAACCCAGCACAUGAAUAUUUACAGCAGUUCAUUCAUUAAUUUCUAAAACUUGGAAGAAACCAAGAUGCUCUUAAGUAGGUGAAUGGACAAAUAAGCAGUGGACCACCCAGACAAUGGAAUAUUAUUCAGUACUAAAAUGAAAUGAGCUAUCAAGCCAUGAAAAGAUAAGAAGAAACAUUAAGAGCAUAUUUCUAAAGUGAUAGGAGCCAAUCUGAAAGGUGUACGUACUGUAGGACUCCAACCAUAUAACAUCCUGGAAAAGACAAAGCUAUGGAGACAGUAAGAGAUUAGUGUUUGUCAAGAGUUGGAGAUCCAGGGGUAGGGGGAGCAUUGAGGAUUUUUAGGGCACUGAAAAUAUUCUGUAGGAUACUAUAAUAAUGGACCUAUGUCAUUAUACAUUUGCCCAAACCAAUUAGGAUAUAUAGCACCAAGAGUGACCUGUAAUGUAAUGUAAACUGUAACAAACUGUGGACUCCAGGUGAUAAUGUAGGUUCAUCCAUUGUUACAAAUGUACCACUCUGGUGGGGGAUGAUGCUGAUGGAGGAAGCUGUUUAUAUGUAUAAGGGCAAAUGGUAUAUGGGAAAUCACUGUACCUUUGGUUCAAUUUUGCUGUAAAUCUCAACCUACUCUAAAAAAAAUUCAAGUAUAAAUAAAUAAGUAAAUAGUGAAACAAAAAACAUAUUUUUCAAGAGAAACAGAAAGGGAGGUGCUUCUCUGUCAUGGAGUUGUUUGCAGCAUUUAUUUUCUCUUCUACAGGGGGCUCUAAGUCAGCAGGGCCACACACCACAAACAAGUCAAACUAAAAUAACAAAUGAAAGAUUCCUAGUGCUGAGAUGAGGAAAUUGGUGUGUUGUGAUGGGCAAGGUACUGAAUGUAUAUCCUUCCUUCCCCUGUUGGUUCAGAACACCUUGCCACAUGCUAGUAGGGAGGCUAGGUUCACACUCUUGCCAAAUAAUAAAGUCUAGAAACACAUUUUUUCCAGCAAAACUUUAAUAAGUAGCAAAAUAACUCUAAAGUAAGCAAAUUAGAGGUGAUAUAGAAUUC